UGAGUACGAGACGCUAAGGCGUCGAAGUAGUGUAUGUCAUACUUCCAAGAAAAGCUUGCACUGUCAUUCAUAAAAAAUGCCUGUACCAUAACCGACACAGGUGGGUAGGUAGAGUAUACUAAGGGGCGCGAGAUAACUCUCUCUAAGGAACUCGGCAAAAUAACUCCGUAACUUCGGGAGAAGGAGUGCCUUAUUUAUAUAAGGUUGCAAUAACAAGAUCCAAGCAACUGUUUACCAAAAACACAGGUCUCCGCUAAGUCGUAAGACGAUGUAUGGGGGCUGACGCCUGCCCAGUGCCAGAAGGUUAAAGAAGUUGGUUAGCAAUAGCGAAGCUGAUAACUGAAGCCCUGGUGAACGGCGGCCGUAACAAUAACGGUCCUAAGGUAGCGAAAUUCCUUGUCGGGUAAGUUCCGACCCGCACGAAAGGCGUAAUGAUUUGGAUACUGUCUCGGAGAGGGACUCGGUGAAAUAGACUUGUCUGUGAAGAUGCGGACUACCUGCACCUGGACAGAAAGACCCUAUGAAGCUUUACUGUAACUUGAAAUUGAAAUUGGACUUUAUUCGCGCAGUAUAGGUGGGAGGCGUUGAAAAUAAUCUUGCGGGACUAUUGGAGCCAUCAGUGAGAUACCACUCUUAUAAUGUUAGAUUUCUAACUUUGAAUCAUUAUCUGGUCAAAGAACAGUUUCAGGCGGGCAGUUUGGCUGGGGCGGUCGCCUCCCAAACGGUAACGGAGGCGUACAAAGGUUUCCUCUGAACGGGUAGAAAUCGUAUCUAGAGUAUAAAGGCAAAAGGAAGCUUGACUGUGAGACCUACAAGUCGAGCAGGGACGAAAGUCGGUCUUAGUGAUCUGACGGUACUGAGUGGAAAGGCCGUCACUCAACGGAUAAAAGUUACUCUAAGGAUAACAGGCUGAUCUCCCCCAAGAGUUCACAUCGACGGGGAGGUUUGGCACCUCGAUGUCGGCUCAUCGCAUCCUGGGGCGGUAGUACGUCCCAAGGGUUGGGCUGUUCGCCCAUGAAAGCGGUACGCGAGCUGGGUUCAGAACGUCGUGAGACAGUUCGGUCCAUAUCCGGUGUAGGCGUUAGAAUAUUGAGAGGAGCCUUCUUUAGUACGAGAGGACCGAGAAGGACAUACCUCUGGUGUACCAGUUAUCGUGCCAACGGUAAACGCUGGGUAGCUAUGUAUGGAGUGGAUAACCGCUGAAAGCAUCUAAGUGGGAAGCCCACCUCAAGAUGAG
rnacentral:rRNA from 1 species